UGGGAGGCUGAUCCACAAGCUGGGCUGAAGUACUGCUCUGUUUGUCACUACACCUCCCUAGAACAAACUGCCCUUCGAUGAGCGGGACAAAUUGAGAGAAACUGUAACGGACAGAUACGGGGCAGACAGUU
rfam:Erinaceus europaeus unplaced genomic scaffold scaffold00339, whole genome shotgun sequence